GACGAACGCUGGCGGCGUGCCUAAUACAUGCCAGUAGAACGCACAGUUUAUACCGUAGCUUGCUACACCAUAGACUGUGAGUUGCGAACGGGUGAGUAACGCGUAGGUAACCUGCCUGGUAGCGGGGGAUAACUAUUGGAAACGAUAGCUAAUACCGCAUAAUAUUGAUUAUUGCAUGAUAAUUGAUUGAAAGAUGCUAUUGCAUCACUACCAGAUGGACCUGCGUUGUAUUAGCUAGUAGGUGAGGUAACGGCUCACCUAGGCGACGAUACAGAGCCGACCUGAGAGGGUGGUCGGCCACACUGGGACUGAGACCAGGCCCAGGCUCCUACGGGGGGCAGCAGUAGGGAAUCUUCGGCAAUGGACGAAAGGCUGACCGAGCAACGCCGCGUGAGUGAAGAAGGUUUUCGGAUCGUAAAGCUCUGUUGUAAGAGAAGAACGGGUGUGAGAGUGGAAAGUUCACACUGUGACGGUAUCUUACCAGAAAGGGACGGCUAACUACGUG
rnacentral:rRNA from 1 species